AUAAAAGCGAUGAGCGGAAGAAGCUUAUUUUCCUUUAUGGCAGAGAGAUACCGGCACGGUGCAACGGUAUUGAUAAAGGCAUAGGCGAGUCACCCGUGAGCCGGCAGGAGAAAAAGCCUGCCCGGAUGCAGCCGUUAUCUGCCAUGAGAGGCCGUGGACAGCAUACGGCAAAUUAGGUGGUACCGCGGAAGACAUACGUUCUUUCGUCCUAAGG
rnacentral:ncRNA from 1 species